GCUCCUUUUUACCUUCGUUAAUAAAUUUGUGAGGUUAAGCAAAUCUGCAAUAAAGCACUAACAAAAUUGCUUUUAAAUUUCUUUAUUGAUAAUCGUCAAAAUAUCGACAUUGUCGCAUUUUUUCUGAAUCCAAGUCUGUUUUUGUUUAAACAAUACAACAGCAGAAGUUGGGUCCACAGUUAGUUUGGAAACACCCCUUUACGCCAUAUUUCCAUGAGACUACAUAUGAUUGGUUUGGUACGUCCUCCUGGCCACGUCUUGCGUAAAUGUGAAAAGCAUCAACACAACGAAAAAAAAGAUAUUUAACAUUUUAAGUUUGACAGUUAUUUAUAAUUCUAUGAUAAAAAAAAAAAAAAGUAAAAUUGCAUAAAUACUGACUCCGAUGAAAAUUCAAAACUGAAAGUUCAUAAUCAAAUUUCAACAUCCAAAGCAAAACAAAUGCGUACCAACUGUCAUAGACUUGAUACAGGAUGUAUGUAGCAAGUGGUGGAUUAAACAUGGUUUUAAAGCUAGCUAAACAUUUCACUUGUAUGACAGUUGUUUCAAAUUAUGUUAUUUUGUCACCGUGGUGAACAGAUAUAUAUAAAAACGCACAAAAAAACAUAUAGACAAACCCCAGUAGCAAAAAUGAAAGACCUGAAUACAAAUAUUUACAAAAUCACAAUUACAUAAGGACGGGAUGUUUAAAGCG
rnacentral:lncRNA from 1 species